rnacentral:rRNA from 1 species
GAUGAACGCUGGCGGCGUGCCUAAUACAUGCAAGUCGAGCGAACGGACGAGAAGCUUGCCUCUCUGAUGUUAGCGGCGGACGGGUGAGUAACACGUGGAUAACCUACCUAUAAGACUGGGAUAACUUCGGGAAACCGGAGCUAAUACCGGAUAAUAUUUUGAACCGCAUGGUUCAAAAGUGAAAGACGGUCUUGCUGUCACUUAUAGAUGGAUCUGCGCUGCAUUAGCUAGUUGGUAAGGUAACGGCUUACCAAGGCAACGAUGCAUAGCCGACCUGAGAGGGUGAUCGGCCACACUGGAACUGAGACACGGUCCAGACUCCUACGGGAGGCAGCAGUAGGGAAUCUUCCGCAAUGGGCGAAAGCCUGACGGAGCAACGCCGCGUGAGUGAUGAAGGUCUUCGGAUCGUAAAACUCUGUUAUUAGGGAAGAACAUAUGUGUAAGUAACUGUGCACAUCUUGACGGUACCUAAUCAGAAAGCCACGGCUAACUACGUG